CGCCCGCAGACACGGAGCGGUUCGGCUGACGGCCCUCGGGACGGGCCCGGCCUGCCUUCCGGGGCUGCUGCGCCCCACAUCCUCCAGUGAGGCUGCCUGCGUGCCCGUACGUGCUGGUUGUGUUACUCUGAGGGUCUGCAGGUAACGACGUUUGUGCAAUGAGGGCGGCGAGGCAGUGCCACAGGUUGCCCGGAGAGGCGGUGUGCCCCGUCCCUGCACACACCCAGGGUCAGGACGGAGGGGCUCUGAGCACUGACGGGGCUGUAGGUGUCCCUGUUGGUGCAUCGGGCUGGACCCGAUGACCUUCAAAGCUCCCUUCCAACUCCGGCUUCUUAUGAUCCUAUGCUGGCCAUGUGCUUCCCUCUGCUGUCUGCUGUGGAACGUAAGGCGUUAUCGGGUCUACGGUAAGACCUGGGAUAAACCUUCAACUUCCAGUAAGCAGCACCUCUCUGACAGUUAUUUAAAGCCUGUCCGCAUUGUUCCAGAGCUAUUUCCUUUUUCCUCUAAGGCAACCUACGGUAGGAAACCGGCGGUCCCUCAGGUAGCCCGCUUCCACUUCACUUGAAGUCUUGCCUGCUCGUGGCAUUUGGGGCCAGCAGAGCGACCUGCAGAGGCUGAAAAUUGUCUGCAGCUUCCUGCCUUUUGUGGAGUGGGCCAAAGAUAACAGUUUUGGUUUGGUUUCGGACGGCCCAGGAGUGGGCCUGUUGUGAUUCAUGCGUUCCACUUGCAGAUUGGCAUUGCUGAGACUAUAAAAUGGACGUGCUUGCUUUGGACGGCCUUCCGUAGCCUUUGAAGGGCACAGAAGUGUUCUCCCUGGUUUUGGUGGGAGAAGCAGUCUGUUUGGUGUGCUAGGCUGGUGUGCCAGUUAGUAUCUCCUACUGAUAGGAUGGGAAAGGACAGGGGAUUGGGGUCUCAUUUGUGAAGACUGAAUGUUUGUAGAUGGGGCGUUUUGCACAUUACAUACAAUUUGCAGACCAGUGAUUUGGUAGUUUGUUUUAACCGAUCCAUCUGCCAUCUUAACUCUAGAAAUGAAUGGAAAAGACAGCGUGCUGUGAAUGGAAGUCGUGCUCUGUGAAACCAGCAGUUACUCGUGUGGUAACAGAUAUGGUCUGCGGGGAAAAAGAGAAUGAACUGAAAGCGAGACGUGGAAAUCAAGCUAUGGGAAAGGGUUUCUUUUGUGACGUUGUGGAUGACCGCGAGGAUUGGCAUUUGUAGCAACCAGAGCCCAUCUCAGUCAUGCAGGGAGUCGCUUUGUAAACGCAGUUUUCCUGCCUACGAGGUUUGUUUGCUUGGUGAUAAGAAACAAUGGUCAACUCGAUGUGCUACUUAAGCAUUUCAGUGCUUGAGAAGAGGAAUCUAGGUUUGUGCUGAACCUGUUUUCUUAGUUAGUCAAAUGCCGGCUUGGCAGCCAAUCUAGAAGGCUGGUAGCACCGAGGCAGAGUGAUUAUGAGGAUUGUUUUCAGCAGCCUCUGCUAAGUCUGCUUUUAUGAAACUUCUUUCCGUUGAGGAAAACAGGUCUUAUCUUCAGGAUUGGAAGCACCGCAUGAGGGAGAGGCACGGGCCAUACUUUUCAAGGUGCCUGAAAAGCAGUGAUGGUUUUGGCUUUGAGUAAGACUGGUGUUUAUCCACGAGAGUGAUAUUAGCUGCAGUUAAGGAGGGGAAAGCAUGGCACAGAGGAGCAACAAAAGGUGUGAGUUUUCCAGUUGUACAUGGAGCACUCGUUUUUGUUCUGCUAAGGAGAGCGUAGUUACAUUGGUUUGGGUUUGUUUUUUCCACUUCCUGCAUCUGGGGGUUGUUGUACCCUAAUACAGGCUCUUUUUCUUAUGGCACAGUGGGAUGGCACGAUCGGUGUGUGGCCUUGGGGGUACCCAGGCCUGAAGCCGUGCCCUCACUGUGUGCUGAGAGCUGGCCUUGGGGUGAAGCCAGGUGGUGCCUGACACUGUGUAAGCUCCCAGAGGAGGACAGCACACUCCAGGUCCCAUCCUUAUUUUACUGGUGUUGCAAACAAGUUAUUCUUGUACUCUGCAGAAAGCCUCACGACCACAAAACCAGCAAUAAUUGUAUAAAUGAUAAGCCUGUUUUCCUCCUCCUCCUCCCAGAUAUUCUGAGUGCGACAGACAGCAGAGAUGUGCAUUGCUGGAAUCCAGAGAGUUUCAUAACGUGGCAGCCACUUGCUGCAUAUGCCACUGCAUACAUAAAGCGGUAUUUAUUUUAAGUAUUGAGGAACAUUCUCUCUAAGCAGAAGAAAAAAGCGUUUAGGUGAAGCCGGUCCCGUUUGUUUACAAGUCUUGGUUUUUGUCUUUAUACAUUUUAAAUGCUUUUUAUUUGUAUUCUGAUUUUUUUUUUGAGCCUUUCAAGUUCAUGUUUUCCAUUUCUCGUUGUUCACACAACAAGAAAGCCUGGAUUGAGUCCUUACUUUAUAAAGGAAGAUCUCAUUGAGUGUCCCCUCUAACCACACAACCUCAGCCAAAGGGUGUUUAAAAAUACAGCCCCUUUUGAGAGAAUUGCUUGUUUUGAGAGCAGUUUUCAGCUCCGAGCUUGAGUAAUUUGAGUAAAUACUUUGUUGGCGGUUUAAGAAGCUUUUAACAACACCUAUCUCUGUUUGCUUUUCAGGGAGGUCUCUCUUCUACUUUUCUGAACAUCUAGAGCUUGUUUCACCUUUGUAUGUGCUGAUGAAGUCAGAAACGUAGUGUACCAGCAUGACUAACGUGUGUUGAAUAAUGCAUACAAAUGCCUUCAGAAAUGCAUGCACAGAUUUCAUGCAGUCCCCUUAAGCUGCUGAGCAGCAGGGAGGGUGCAGAGCCCCUCCUCAGGGCGGCAGGAGGAGGUGUGUUGGCAUCCUGGGAGGAGCAGAAAACCUCUGUGGUUCCCUGAGGAAAUCACAGAUGCGUUCGAGGCCUUAAGCUUGGUAGCCUGAUGUUUAACCCUGUCCUUGUUUUUGGAAUGCUGUUAACAGAUAAACGAGCAUUUUAAAUCUGUUGUUGUUUGUUGCGGUGCUGCUCUCAAGCAGUGCACAUCAGGACCAGGAGGAGACAUCCUUCCUCAGCUCAAAGAUUCUGCCUCUCCCCGCUAUGGAUACAAGCACAAGCACCUGGCCAUGCGUUCCCCAGGCUGCACAGACAGCUUUCUGGCCAGCUGCUCUCUCUGCUCUAUCCCUACCAAUAACAUCCAGGGAAAGCAGGGGCCGACUGCUGUCCUGUGGCUGUGCGAGAGCCCCAUUCUGUGCUCCCAGGCCAGGUGCUCCAGAAUGGCUUUUCUAGGAGGUUACGACUUGUGUGGUUUCAAUCGCAUAAGUCUUUGGCCUUGUGCCCUGAAGUGCCAGCAGAGGCAUGCUGUAAUUGCCCGUAAACGUACCGUCUGUCAUUAUCAUUGUUUAAUUAUUCCAGCUUCUCACCGCCACGCACUGCUCAGUGUCUCUCCUGCUAUCUUUAUUUAAUUGAGUGGAAAAAAUCUGAGACUUGUGCUUCACUUACGUCACUUUGUAUUUAUCCAGCAUCACUGGAUCCCGCUUUGAAGUCCCAGCUUUUGUAUGCAGAAGUCGGUCUUCUAUACAGACAAAAUAAUGUCCGUGUCAAAAGCGUAUGUUAGAAAUAGAAUCAAUAUUUUAACACAUGGUAAACUCCGGCCACAAAGCUCUUAGCACAGUCAAAUGAUUGUAUGAUCAUCCUUUGAAACUUGGCUCUGCCCCUGGGAAACAAGAAAGGGAAAGAAAACUCUUGAAUAACCAAGCCCUUGUCCUCACAGCGCAGGACUGUUCUCAGCCUGUCGCUUUGUCUGUGCCACUCCUUCCUUUUCCGUCUCCCAGCUCUGUUUUCUUCUGCAUCAAACGCAUUCAGCUCCAGGAGCCUUCUUUCUCCAGCCCAUCCCUAUGGAUCUGUUUUAGUGCAUUACCAGACGUCAGUUCCGUCCCGAGAUCGCCCUGCACCGUCCCCGUGGCAGUUCCACCACGUUUCAGACACCUCUACGCUUCUGUACCAAGCUUGCAACUAACCAAAUUUUAAUGUGAUGAAAAAUGUAAUCUUUCUGAGAUCUCUCCAACGCUCCCCUUGUCCGUAUGGCCUGAAAAGACUUGGCAGCGUGUUGGCUGCUUUUCUUUUCUCCCCUUUCCCCGUGUCAGUGACAAAUGCACAUUGUUUUUCUGGUCUUUCAGUCUCCGAGCCAGACCAACGCUUUGUGCAGCACCUAGCUCACCGGGUUGCUAUCAAGGCAGCUGUGUGCUCCUACACCAACACAAAAUAUUGGGGUUGCUGGCACUCACUCUGGCCUAGUUUGCCUCUCUCCUCGCAGAAGGAGUUUCAUGAUGUCCUCCUGGAAGAUCAUUGUACACCUGAACAGGUCUACCUUUCAGGAUUCUAUUUUACUUUUUCAUAAAUCCUCAGCUGAGGUUUUCAUUUGCAGGUGUGCUCCUUGUAAUGCUCGGCUCCCUGACUGAGCCAGCAUCAUUUCUGGGGUUGUACUUUCCGGCUUCUCAUAGCUGUAAGAUUAUUAAUUUCAUACUAUUUUCUGAUUUGUUUCAUUUUUCAUCCAUCUCUUUCCUGCAGGAGAGAGCAAUUUAUAUCAUGAUUUCACUGUGGAAUUGACUUCAGGCUUUACUGCUAUUUGUCACCAUUCAGGAAAUCCAUCCCUGGCUCGAGAAGAACACUCAGUCCCUGCUGACAGUUUGAAAGAGGGAGAGAAAAUAGAUAGCAGAGCUGCAGCUAUUAGGACCAACAGGCACAUAUUUUAUUCCAACUCAAUUUUCCAUUUCCAAAUGCCUUUUGAAGAAAACCUUUCUGUUUGAAAGAACAUGAAGGAAGGUUGUGGGUACCGGUGGGUUUUUUGGGCGGGUGGGGGGUUGUUUUGGUAGUGAUGGUUUGUUGUCAAUGUUGUUUCGUAGGGACUCUCCUGUUCUUGAUGAUGUCCAUCUUCUUCCACGUUUCAGGCAGCAGGCUCACAACAACGACAAGAUGUUAUCCCACGGAAAGCUGCUGCUGCUGCCUCUGGCCUUGGUUAACCUGUUGGCAAUGGUGCUUGCCUGGGCAUGGGGCAACUGGCUUUUCACACAGCUCAGCAUGGACGUGCUGCCACUCCCAGUCACUUUUAGGACACAGUAGAAUUGUUUUUCUUGAGAUUACUGUACCCAUUAAUCUUAAGAAAAACAUGUAAUAAAACUGUUCAGCCUUCCUGGGGCCACCACUCCCAGAGACCUUUCCCCUUUUUGGCUUCUGCAAUAGCUUCUUUCCUUUGGCUCUGCACCUUUAUCAGCUAGAAAUGAUAAACUACAAAGCUGGUUGGCUUCAGGCUCUCUUUUUUGCAGGACAGGCUAUGCUUGUGCCUAUUGAGGACUGGAAGAUCACAGAGGAUGAGGGGGAAAGGGAAGGCUGCUCGCUCUUGUACACAGUGCAGGGGCAGGAUACAGCCUUUUAUGAAGUUCAGCAAAGAAAAACUUGGGCUUUCCUGCACACCGUGCCAUACCAGUCAGCCUGGUACUUAUGUUCCUGGACCUUUGAAGGCAAGAAACAACAUGCAGUGGGAAUGAAAUCUAAGCCUUGCUGCACCAGAACACUGGUUGCAGCCAAGUUUAGAAGUCUGACGUGAGAGUCAGGUGGAGCAGGUACCAUGGCAGGAGAUGCCAUGUAUCACCUGCAGGCAUGCAGAUCUGCAGUGCUGCUACAGCAUCAGAGUCCAACUGCAAUGUGUGGCAUGUGAGAAGCUGGUGAACCCGCGGCCACGUUCGGCUUGAAUGCACUUUCCUUGGGAGGAAGUGGCUUUUCCCUCGGAGAGCUCAACUCCCCAGGGUCCCUGUGAGGUCAGUGGAAAAAGUGAUUUCAUCAGAGUAUGUUCCAGAAUGCCUUGACAAACGCUUAUCAUUUUGACUGUGGAGCAAACUUAACCUCUGUAGUUUUAAACCCGCUUUUGUGAGUACCAAACCCUGCCUGCUCCUUAGCUUUGGGAGUUAUGCUGUCCCUGCUAGGCAGAUUGCCUACUGCGGUUCAGGUGCUGCAGGCCCAAGCUGAGAGAAGCUCGUCCAGCAGCGCACAGCGUGUCCUAUUGCAUCCUGCUUCAUCCUUUGGCUUAUCCUGGAAUAGGUUAGCAGGUAGCAGAGAAAUCAAAUGAAGUCAAAAAAUGUUGGUUUCUUUCUGGAUGGCCUGACUGGACUGGAAUAAUCAGCAUCUGUUUCGGUUUAAAUGAGUUUUCAUUCCGGCCUUUUUUCCCUUUUCGAAGUACAGACAACUGAAGACUUUAAUUUGCCCCAUCUUUUACUGUAGAGAAAAGUAGAAGUUUCUGUCAGCUGAUACUAUUGCACCUAGAAUAUCUAUACUUAAAAAAGAAUACAAUUUAUUGUCUAUUAUGAAUGAAAAAGCUCUUGCUGGUUUCUUUCAUUUGUAGUGUUGACUUUGAAAGAUAAAUUGUUUGAACUGGUUGACUCUCCAUUUGUAUAACUGAAGGUUAGCUUGCUUGAUAGCCUGAUGGGUCUGCAGUUUUUGCUUGCACUAAAUAAGCUGCAGAACCGCCAGCCCUGGGCAGCUAGGACACAGCACAUACUUGAAAACCAAUUGUCACUUUUACUGGUAAAUCAGGCAGAAUAAUCUCAUGCAUGACAUCCUGGAUGUUUCAGGAUUGAUCCAUCUGGAAGAGCCCCCAUAGGGCCUAGAAUGUGUUUCUAAAGCUGACACACAUACAUAAGUGCUAAUGAGUUUAAAGUUGAAGCUGACAGGCCCAGAACUGUUUUUACCUGGUAGUUUUGCAACCCUAAACCAUGCAGCUUGGUUGUGAGGACACAGGCAUGUUAAACAAACUCCAUCCUUUUUUUUCCAUAUGUGUUUGCUGUGUAGAACCAGCAGCAAGAAAGUGUAGAAAGAAUUUCUUGUCACUCCAUUGAGCAGACCUGACUCUGAGCACAGAGAAGGAACAGAGUAAAAAUAGUAACAUCUUGCUGUACUGUACUCCCUCAGCAGAGAACCACAUUUUGAGGUUCCCCUUCUUUGUGUCCUUAUUUGUAUUGCAACAGAAGCUUUCGCUCUGGUGGGCAGUCUUUCUCUUCAGUGUGGUGGAUCUUCUUGUUGGCCACUCUGUCCCAGUGCUGGUUUCUAGGUUUUGCCAGUGGUUCUGGAUGUGUAUGUACGUUUUCUGUGCCUCAUACUUCACCUCUCUCCCCUUUUUAGGCUGUGCCAGCUCUUCCAGCCUCCCCACUUUCUGUGUACCUGUGACCAUGGCAAUACAGCCAGGAUUACAUCUAAGGUGAAGACAGAAAAACCAUGAUGAAGGUUUAUGCUAUUUUCAUGACGAAUAUGAUGCUCACAAAAAUGAAAAGAUUUUCAGUUCUAUGUUUCACCUGCUUUCGGCCCCGCACCGCACGAUACAGAAGGGCCAAUCCUGCUUCUAAUGCUGCCUAGCAUUUAUGAGUAGAAGAGCACGCAGGCAUACUGAACUGAGAAACGAGCCGAGGGGAGCGGGCAGACCCCAGGUAACCCAGGCGCACAGCCCUGCUGAGCCUGCCCGGGCUGUGUGCUGCGGGAACAGCGCCGGCCGGACCUCCGCCAGCCGCGGGCUGCUCCGGUCCCGCAGGGAGAACGCAGCUGGAGCUCUCCAGGACGCGAAGCCUCUCC
ensembl:lncRNA